rnacentral:misc_RNA from 1 species
GCGAUGGGGUUGUUUAGACCUGCGAGCGAGCCACCUGUUUCAAAGAAAGGGCGCCAAACGUAUCGCAUGUGGAAGGCGAUGGUCGAAUUGGAAUCUUCACCAUUCAGAAAAUCUAGACUGACUGAGAGAAUUAAAUUGCUUCGGUUCAUUCCCCUUGAAAGUUAUCAUAUUAGUCCCAUCAGCAUCAAUGGAAUAACUUCGAUUAGUGAAUUUCUAGUUUCAUUUUUGAAGGCUUAUUUUCCAGGUCUGGAAAUUAAUCUGGAAAGUUUAAAUGACAUCGCACUAAUGGGCGUGGCUAACCGUUACCAUAAAAUAACCUUAAAGAAACAGUACCUUGUUACUGAUGUCUACACUAGACUUCAUAAAGCAACAGGUUUUGAUCAAAAGGAUUACCUACUCGGCCUAACUUGGACUGAUCUUUAUCCAUCAGAAGAUUUGAACUUUGCACUGGGAGAGGCACUCUUUAGUCGUCGCUGUGCUGUCUUCAGUUUUGGUCGAUUUGAACCACUUCUGCAUCAUCAACAUGAGCAAAUUGUUGGAGAUUGUCCACAGAGAGCCACCGAAUCUGAAAUAAUGCUGCAUUCUUCAGGGGAAAGCUGCUGCAGAAAGAUGCCAGAGCAUGCCAAGUGCAGAUCAAACUUACAAUUUAAUGAGCAUGAGGAAAGCUCUGUGUUAAAACCAAAGAACUCAACUGUUGGAGUUGCAGAAAUGGCAGCUGAGGAAACGCCAAAGUCUGGUCAAUGUUCUUCACCACAAGAUACAUCACCGAAUCCACACAAGGAUGAAGAAAAUGAUGUCUUAGAAAUUACUGGUGAUCUACUUUGGAAAAUGAUGAGGGUUUCAAGUCACGAGAUGUGUCAUUUAUUUGGCAUCUCCCACUGUGUCUUUUUCCACUGCGCUAUGAACGAGAGCAAAUCCGUCAAAGAGGCCUUGUCCCAACCUCUGUAUCUGUGUCCUGUUUGUCUCCGUAAGCUCCAGAAAUUCUUCGGCUUCGACGUCACUUCCCGCUACCGCGGAAUCCUCGAGGUUUGCCAGGGAGUUCAAAGGUCAUACCCAUCGGAGCCGAUGAAGGAGACUAUCGCCUGGCUAAGAAGAGUACUGGAGUUCUUGUCAACAGACUGAACUUCUUCAUUCAUGGUAUUACCAUACUUGAAAUACAUUGUACAGUGUUCAACAGUCAUAUGUUGGAUCUUGGUAUCAUCUCUUACCCCUGUCACCAAUAAAAUCUCCUAGGACGAGAGCACCCUACAUUCUCCCAGCCACCAACCGAAAGGAUGCCCCUGCAGUAUCCAUCUGGAACCCAUGAUAAGCAUGACCUUGUCAUUAUUGUAUUGCCUUCCACUGUGCAGUGAAUGAGAGCAACUAACAGGUUAAGCCUUUACACAACCUCUUUUGAGUUGACAUCUAUGCCUUCAUAACCUUGAGGAGUUGUCAACUUUUGUCAUCACUGCCCGCUAUUGAACUCCUUUGAGGUAUGUUUGGAAGUUCAAAGGUCAUCUGUUGGAGCCUAUGAAGGAGACCCUCUUGAGGUCAUCUAGAGAAGAAUACUUUGUCAACUGUACUUAUUCAUGUUGAUAUCUGCUUCAGUAAAUUUCAUAUAAUGGUAAAUUACAUUUGUAGUUGAAAACUCUCCUAUUAUGGAAAACGUGCAAUUGAUUCCACGCUGUAUAGUGUAUGUACAUGCAUUUUAUGAAGAGUUGCUUUCCAAAAAGGUUCUGCAUCCAUAUUUGUUUUAAAGUAGAACUGAGGAUAACAGCUUUUUUAUUGUAAGUCCUUGUUAUGAUAGCCGUAUCUGUUUGGAAUGAAACUAUUACUGAUUGUUUUACGAAAAGUUACCAAAGUAAAACCGGUUUUGAAAAACCAAAGUCGGCAACUUUUUUGCAAAUUUCCAUGGGUAAUUUUUUUAAAGAUUAGACAGGUGUUUAUCCUGUUCUUGAUUUUCAUCCGACAUUUCACAUUUCGAUGAUGCAUGGUCAGAUUCUUUGUUGUGUUCUGAAGGAGGGUGCCCUCCAUGGGUGAUUUCAAGUCCGGUGUUGGUGUUGGAAACACAAUUUGGUUUGUAUUUCAUAGCUCCAAUACCUAUCGCAAUUUUACACAUCCAGGUGGGUGUUUCAUAAAGCUGUUAGUAAAGUUACGAACGACUUUACGCACGACUGGAACAUGUUCUUAGGU